GUGGUUCUCUUUUGAGGCUACACCUUCACGCAAAUUCGUGAUACAGAGAAGAUUAGCAUGGCCCCUGCGCAAGGAUGACAAGCAAAUUCUUGAUACAGAGAAGAUUAGC